rnacentral:rRNA from 1 species
UACGUAGGGCGCAAGCGUUAUCCGGAAUUAUUGGGCGUAAAGAGCUCGUAGGCGGUUUGUCGCGUCUGCCGUGAAAGUCCGGGGCUCAACUCCGAGCUUGCAGUCGAUACGGGCAGGCUAGAGUUCGGCAGGGGAGACUGGAAUUCCUGGUGUAGCGGUGAAAUGCGCAGAUAUCAGGAGGAACACCGGUGGCGAAGGCGGGUCUCUGGGCCGAUACUGACGCUGAGGAGCGAAAGCGUGGGGAGCGAACAGG